rnacentral:rRNA from 1 species
AGCGAACGCUGGCGGCAUGCUUAACACAUGCAAGUCGCACGAAGGGCAACCUUAGUGGCGGACGGGUGAGUAACGCGUAGGUAUCUGUCUAGAGGUGGGGGAUAACAGCGGGAAACUGCUGCUAAUACCGCAUAAUGCCUGAGGGCCAAAGCAGCGAUGCGCCAUUGGAGGAGCCUGCGUACGAUUAGCUUGUUGGUGGGUAACGGCCUACCAAGGCGAUGAUCGUUAGCUGGUCUGAGAGGAUGAUCAGCCACAUUGGGACUGAGACACGGCCCAAACUCCUACGGGAGGCAGCAGUGGGGAAUAUUGGACAAUGGGCGAAAGCCUGAUCCAGCAAUGCCGCGUGUGUGAAGAAGGUCUUAGGAUUGUAAAGCACUUUCGGCGG